AGUCAAAACCUUUUUAACCAAAUGAACUGCAUGGAUAAUAUUUAACGUCCAUAGGGAUCCGACAUGGAAAUUAGCAGAAGAAAACACGCUUUCUGGUUUAAUAAUAGUAAAUAAAAAGAAACGAGAAGGCAGUUUCUUGGUUUGUCAAGCAAAGUUAAUCCUAAUCUCUCUUGUUCAUUUUCUCUAUCACCAUUUCUUGCUUUGAUUCUCACUGCACCCGUUUUGCAAACAGUACUGCGUGCAGAUCAAACCAUGGCUGCUGCUUUGGUAGGUGGAGCUUUUCUUUCGGCUUCCCUCCAGGUUUUGUUUGAUAGAAUGGCUUCUCGCCAGGUUGUUGACUUCUUUAAAAGCCAAAAACUAAAUGAUAGGCUGCUGAAGAAGUUGAAGAUACUGAUGAUUACUGUUAAUAAGGUGCUCAAUGAUGCUGAAAAGAAGCAGAUCAGUGACUCGUUUGUAAAAGAGUGGCUUGACGAGCUCAAAGAUGCUGUUUAUGAAGCAGAGGACUUCUUGGAUGAGGUUGCUUAUGAAGGCUUGAGACUGGAGGUUGAAGCUGGCUCUCAAACCAGCACUUAUCAGGUUAGAGGCUUUUUAUCUUCUCGUAAUACAGUCCAGGAAGAGAAGGAAGAGAUGGGAGCUAAGUUAGAGGAGAUUCUUGAGCUGCUAGAAUAUUUAGUACAGCAAAAGGAUGCUCUUGGACUGAAAGAGGGUAUUGGAGAACAACCCUUGUCAUACAAAAUACCAACAACUUCUCUGGUGGAUGGAUCUGGGGUUUUUGGUAGGCAUGACGAUAAGGAAGCCAUAAUGAAGUUGAUGUUAUCUGAAGAUGCCAAGCUAGAUGUGAUUCCUAUAGUGGGUAUGGGUGGGGUUGGUAAAACCACUCUUGCUCAGCUUAUCUACAAUGAUAGCAGAGUUCAAGAGCGGUUUGAUCUGAAGGUAUGGGUCUCUGUUUCGGAGGAAUUUGAUGUUUUCAAGUUAAUCAAAGAUAUGCUUCAAGAGGUCGGUUCACUGAAUUGUGAUACCAUGACUGCAGAUCAGCUUCACAAUGAGGUAGAGAAGAGAACAGCAGGGAAAACAGUGCUGAUUGUUUUAGAUGAUGUUUGGUGUGAGAAUCAAGAUCAGUGGGAUUCUUUAUUGACACCUUUAAAGUCUGUGAGACAAGGGAGUAAGAUCGUCGUUACAACGCGCAAUGAUAGUGUAGCAUCGGUCAAGUCAACUGUUCCAACACAUCAUCUGCAGAAAUUAACUGAAGACGACUGCUGGUUGGUUUUUGCAAAACAGGCAUUUGAUGAUGGAAGUUCUGGUACAUGUCCAGACUUGGAAGAAAUUGGCAGAGGAAUUGUAAGAAAGUGCAAUGGCCUACCUUUAGCUGCAAAAGCUCUUGGGGGUCUCCUACGCUCCAAAAGAGAAGCAAAAGAUUGGAAGAAAGUGUUGAAGAGUGACAUGUGGACUUUGCCGAAAGAUCCGAUUCUUCCAGCUUUAAGACUGAGCUACUAUUACCUUCCUGCCCCACUGAAGCAGUGCUUUGCGUAUUGUGCGCUAUUUCCCAAAGAUUAUAGAUUCAACAAGGAUGAUUUAGUACGUUUGUGGAUGGCAGAGGGUUUUCUUGUCCCACUCAAAGGAGAUGAGGAGAUUGAAGAUGUAGGUGGCGAGUGCUUUGAUGAUCUUGUUUCCAGGUCAUUUUUCCAACGAUAUUCUAGUGACAAUCUAUCAUUGUUUAUUAUGCACGACCUCAUUAAUGAUUUGGCCAACUCUGUGGCGGGGGAGUUUUGCUUCCUGUUGGAGGAUGAUGAUUCAAACAAGAUUGCAGCGAAGGCUCGUCAUUUCUCAUAUGUACCAAAGUCAUUUGAUUCCCUUAAAAAAUUCGUAGGAAUCCAUGGAGCUGAACAUUUGCGCACUUUUCUACCGUUGCCAAAGCAGUGGGAAGACAACCGGUUUGAAGAUGGCCUAACACGUUAUUUAUUACCUAGACUUGGACGAUUGCGAGUGCUAUCCUUGUCUCGCUAUUCUAGCGUAGCUGAGUUGGCUAAUUCAAUGGGAAAGUUAAAGCAUCUGCGAUAUCUGAACCUUUGGGGAACAUCAAUAGAAGAGUUCCCUGAAGUUGUGAGUGCUGCGUACAAUUUGCAAACGCUAAUCUUGGAAGAUUGCAAAGGGGUUGCUGAAUUGCCUAAUUCAAUUGGCAAUCUGAAGCAAUUACGAUAUGUGAAUCUCAAGAAAACAGCAAUCAAACUGUUACCUGCAUCUUUGAGUUGUUUGUAUAAUCUGCAAACAUUGAUCUUGGAAGAUUGUGAAGAGCUUGUUGAGUUGCCUGAUUCAAUAGGAAAUUUGAAAUGCUUACGACAUGUGAAUCUUACGAAAACAGCAAUUGAAAGGUUACCUGCAUCCAUGAGUGGAUUGUAUAACUUGCGAACUUUAAUCUUGAAGCAAUGCAAGAAACUUACGGAGUUGCCAGCUGAUAUGGCAAGGUUAAUCAACUUGCAAAAUCUUGAUAUUUUAGGAACAAAGCUGUCGAAGAUGCCUUCACAGAUGGAUAGAUUGACAAAGCUCCAAACACUGAGUGAUUUUUUUCUGGGAAGACAGAGUGGUUCUAGCAUUAUAGAGUUGGGCAAGCUUCAACAUCUACAAGGGGGAGUAACGAUUUGGGGUCUUCAAAAUGUUGUGGACGCUCAAGAUGCUUUGGAAGCCAAUUUGAAGGGUAUGAAACAGGUUAAAGUGUUGGAAUUGAGAUGGGAUGGCGAUGCUGAUGACUCACAGCACCAAAGAGACGUUCUUGAUAAAUUACAGCCCCAUACAGGUGUGACUAGUCUUUAUGUUGGUGGUUAUGGGGGUACAAGGUUUCCAGAUUGGAUAGCAGACAUUUCUUUCUCAAAUAUAGUAGUGUUGGAUCUUUUCAAAUGUGCAUAUUGCACCUCUUUACCUCCACUUGGACAGUUAGGGUCUUUAAAGGAACUAUGCAUCCAGGAAUUUGAAGGAGUUGUGGUGGCGGGUCACGAGUUCUAUGGAAGCUGCACAUCCUUGAAGGAGCCAUUUGGAUCCCUCGAGAUUUUAACUUUUGUUAGCAUGCCACAAUGGAAUGAAUGGAUUUCUGAUGAGGACAUGGAAGCUUUCCCUCUUCUUCGAGAGCUUCACAUAUCAGGCUGCCACAGCCUAACGAAGGCAUUGCCGAAUCAUCACCUUCCUUCUUUAACAGAACUUAACAUCCUUGACUGUCAGCAGCUUGGAGGCCCAUUUCCUUGGUAUCCAAUCAUUAACAGAUUUUGGUUAAAUGAUGCUUCUCGGGAUCUGCGUUUAGAGAAAUUGCCUUCUGAGUUGUAUGAACUCGAGAUUCGCAAAUUGGACUCCGUAGAUUCGUUGGUCAAGGAAUUGGAGCUGAUGGGUUGCUUAUCCUCUAUGUUUGAAAAUAUUGAAAUAGAUAAUUUUGAUCUACUCAAGUGUUUCCCGCUAGAGUUGUUCUCCAACUUACAGACUCUAAAAAUCAAGAAUAGUCCGAAUCUGAAUUCUCUUUCAGCAUAUGAAAAGCCUUAUAACAGGUCUCUCCGUUUCUUGGAAAUCCAGGGGUGUCCUAACUUAGUUUGUUUUCCCAAAGGAGGGUUAUCUGCUCCGAAUUUGACAAAGAUUAGGUUACUUGAUUGCAUAAAUUUAAAGGCGUUGCCUGAGCAAAUGUCUUUCCUUUUUUCCCUUGUGGAUUUGGAACUGAAAGGACUUCCUGAACUUGAGUCAUUUCCAGAAGGGGGUUUGCCACUUGAUCUAGAAACACUCUGCAUCCAAAGUUGCAAUAAACUCAUUGCAAGCCGUGCACAAUGGGAUUUGCUUCUUCAAUGUUCUCUUUCAAAAUUAAUAAUUGCUUACAAUGAAGAUGUGGAAUCUUUCCCUGACGGGCUGCUGCUGCCUUUAGAACUUCGGUCCCUUGAAAUCCGGUCCCUUGAAAAUUUGAAAUCUCUGGACUACAACGGGCUUCUACACCUCACCUGUCUUAGAGAAUUGAAGAUUGACACAUGCCCUAAUCUCCAAUCCAUACCUGAAAAAGGGCUGCCCUUCUCCCUUUAUUCUUUUGAAAUCAGUGGAUGCCCUCAGCUAGAAAAAAGGUGUGAAAAGGAGAAAGGGGAAGAUUGGCCCAAGAUUUCUCAUUUCCUCAACAUCAAGAUUGAUGGCCGCUGGAUUGAACCAGAAGACUGGUAGAGUCUCUCUUCUUUCAUCCAUUCAACACAUUGAGAUUUACUAUUGUCUAGCUGUGGAGGCGGACGUAGAAAUGGAGUUGCUUUACAUGUCUACAGAGACUCAUAAGUCGAGCUCACUCUAAAUCCAAGUCCAUGCUGCCUGGCUUCAACAGUCAGAGCAGGAAACGGGAAUCUUAAGGUAGCAUAGAGCAUCAAAGACCGAAGCAUGGUUCAUAUGCAUCAAAGACUCGAUGUCUUUUGUCAGAAGAUCAAUUUCCAGGUUAUUGUUCAUUUCUUCAUAUGAUGCUAGUAGUUAACCCGAUUUCUUUCUGACCCUUCCCUUCGAAAACAGACUCAUCUAUUUUUCAUAUUUGUUGAGGGCGGCUUCCAGGCUCUAGGGAGAAUCAGAGAGCCAAGAUCUGUGCUUAGUAUAAAAUUCUAUGGGAGUCUUCUGGUGCAUAUGAUACAAAGUUUGGAGAUGAUAUCAAAUCUAGUUGAGCAUCUAGUCUGGAAACGAAGCUUGCAUGUUGUACUUGGCCUUAUCAACAUUCCUGGUCAGCAUAUCUGCUAGCAUUUGCUUACUCAUCCAGUCUAGUCUCACGGCUAUUACAAGAUAUGGUUUGCCAGACAGCAGUGGCAAUAACAUGGGACAAUUUUUUCAGUUUCCGAAUUAGCUCAGCACUUUUGUUGUAGUUGGUGGAAUGUUAUGCUUGUACAUAGGUUUAAAAUCCAUCAACUUAUUCAGCUGCUCUUCUUUCUCAUGCUUCAAUAUAUUGGAUUAUUAUCUUUCAAUUCCAAAUUUUGUCUACAAAUGUUGCUCUCAGCCCCGUUGCUUGUCUUGCUAUUGAAGAAAGAAUAUUGUUGAAUUGUUUGAACCAAAAACAUGUUGAAAUCUACAAGCAGUUUAAUUA